GACGUAGGGGGCCAGCGUUGUUCGGAAUUACUGGGUGUAAAGGGUUCGUAGGCGGUGCGGCAAGUUGGGAGUGAAAUCUCUGGGCUUAACCCAGAGGCUGCUUCCAAAACUGCUGUGCUUGAGUGUGGGAGAGGCGCGUGGAAUUGCAGGUGUAGCGGUGAAAUGCGUAGAUAUCUGCAGGAACACCCGUGGCGAAAGCGGCGCGCUGGACCACUACUGACGCUGAGGAGCGAAAGCGUGGGUAGCAAACAGG
rnacentral:rRNA from 1 species